rnacentral:rRNA from 1 species
UACGUAGGGUGCAAGCGUUGUCCGGAAUUACUGGGCGUAAAGAGCUCGUAGGUGGUUUGUCGCGUUGUCCGUGAAAACUCACAGCUCAACUGUGGGCGUGCGGGCGAUACGGGCAGACUGGAGUACUGCAGGGGAGACUGGAAUUCCCGGUGUAGCGGUGAAAUGCGCAGAUAUCGGGAGGAACACCGGUGGCGAAGGCGGUUCUCUGGGCCUUACCUGACGCUGAGGAGCGAAAGCGUGGGGAGCGAACAGG